rnacentral:rRNA from 1 species
UACGUAGGGACCAAGCGUUGUUCGGAUUUACUGGGCGUAAAGGGCGCGUAGGCGGCCUGCUAAGUUGGGUGUGAAAACUCUGGGCUUAACCCAGAGCCUGCAUUCAAUACUGACGGGCUAGAGUACUGGAGGGGAAAGCGGAAUUCCUGGUGUAGCGGUGAAAUGCGUAGAUAUCAGGAGGAACACCGGUGGCGAAGGCGGCUUUCUGGACAGUAACUGACGCUGAGGCGCGAAAGCUAGGGGAGCAAACAGG